CCACCCCAGCGGCCGCCCGCCCGGCCCGCAGCCCGCCGUGCACCUCUCUCCCUCCGCUCCAGGUAGUCGGCCGCCUCCAGCAGCAGCUGGAUGUUCAUCCCGACGGCUGUCGCCAUCCUGCACCCGGCGGGCCACCUCUCCGUGCCCGCGGGCCGCUGGCCGGGAACGCCGAAAAGCCGCCGCGCUGGCCAGCCAGGAGGGGCAGCGCUGGGACGGCACGGAGCCCGGAUCCCAGCAGCGGCCGCUGAGUGUUUAUCCCGACUCGCCGCCGCCCGCCCCCGGUCCCGUCCCUUGACAGGCCCGCGGCGGCGGUGCCCCUCAUUGGGUCGCCCGCAGCACAGCCCGCCUCCAGACCGCCGCAAUUGGUAUCACUGAGACCAGGAGUGUGCGGUCUUUGCUGUGGGUGGAGAGUAGAGACGCAGCAAGAGCAGAAAGAGGGGACCCAUCUGGAGCUUCUGCAGUAGUCCAGGAAGGAAGAACCGAGAUCCUGUUUGGAGGUGGAUUAAAUACAAAAUAUAAAAUACUCUCUGACCCAGAUGAAGGGGAAUCCUCCAACACCUCAAGUCUCAUGCAAUAAAAUCCAGAGGUCUGUUGAAUCCGCCUUUUCGAUUCAUGUACUGCCUAUGAUAAAAAGAGAAAAGUAUUUUUAAAAAAUUUGGACUCUUAUUUUAAAAAUAUAGUAAAACCAUACUUCAAAAUUCAAAC